CCUACGGGUGGCAGCAGUAAGGGAUAUUGGUCAAUGGGGGAAACCCUGAACCAGCAACGCCGCGUGAGGGAAGACGGUUUUCGGAUUGUAAACCUCUGUCCUCUGUGAAGAUGAUGACGGUACCUGAAGAAGAAGCCCCGGCUAACUACGUGCCAGCAGCCGCGGGAAUACGUAGGGGGCAAGCGUUAUCCGGAUUUACUGGGUGUAAAGGGGGCGCAGACGGCGAUGCAAGCCAGGAGUGAAAGCCCGGGGCCCAACCCCGGGACUGCUCUUGAAACUGCGUGGCUGGAGUGCAGGAGGGGUAGGCGGAAUGCCUGGUGUAGCGGUGAAAUGCGUAGAUAUCAGGAGGAACACCGGUGGCGAAGGCGGCCUGCUGGACUGCAACUGACGUUGAGGCCCGAAAGCGUGGGGAGCAAACAGGAUUAGAUACCCCAGUAGUC
rnacentral:rRNA from 1 species